UACGAAGGGGGCUAGCGUUGCUCGGAAUCACUGGACGUAAAGGGUGCGUAGGCGGGUCUUUUAAGUCAGGGGUGAAAUCCUGGAGCUCAACUCCAGAACUGCCUUUGAUACUGAGGAUCUUGAGUUCGGGAGAGGCGAGUGGAACUGCGAGUGUAGAGGUGAAAUUCGUAGAUAUUCGCAAGAACACCAGUGGCGAAGGCGGCUCACUGGCCCGGUACUGACGCUGAGGUGCGAAAGCGUGGGGAGCAAACAGG
rnacentral:rRNA from 1 species